UCCUAAUAGCAUAGUUAUAUAUUCAAUCUAUUAUCAAGUAUUGAUUUUUCUUUCAAGAAAAGAUGAAACAAUUACCGUCAAUUGGAUUAGUGAAAGCGAAACCCUGAGAAUUCAAAAUUACCGAGAAGAAGGUGAAUACUUUCGAACGAAAUCAAAGUUUGCGUCAAGUGCUUUCUCGGUUCCCAAAUACGAAACUGAAUCGAAAUUGAUGAAUUACAAAAAAAAAUGUAAUAAGCGGUGGUGAUUGAAGAUGUGGAAAAACGAAACGUUAGGGUUUUUUGUUGUGAGGGGGGAGAGAAGAGAAGAGAACAAGAGAGCCGUUGGGGGAAACAAUUGUAUUGAACAAUUG
rnacentral:lncRNA from 1 species